GACAUUUCAAGCGGUAAUUAACACUAUAGACCCCAUCAAUAAAAUGGGUGCAUAGCUUACCUGCAAAAACAACGAGCAAGCUAGAAAGCGGAGGAAGCUGAGAAAUUUUUAGCAAUAUGGAGGAGACUCAGAUCACUGACGAGCAAUCUGUCAGGUCUCUCGCAGUGGGAGGGAACUCUGGCACUAGCAAGGCAUUUUGCAAGUGUGGCGAAGGGUGGAAAUGUGUCAUCACAAGGACUGAAGGACCUGAUUCCGGCAAGGCCUUCUUCAAAUGUGGUGAAAGUUGCACCUGUGUCAUAGAUGGAGAUGGUACAGUGAAGGAGCUAGAGACAAG